GACGAACGCUGGCGGCGUGCUUAACACAUGCAAGUCGAACGGAAAGGCCCUGCUUUUGUGGGGUGCUCGAGUGGCGAACGGGUGAGUAACACGUGAGUAACCUGCCCUUGACUUUGGGAUAACUUCAGGAAACUGGGGCUAAUACCGGAUAGGAGCUCCUGCUGCAUGGUGGGGGUUGGAAAGUUUCGGCGGUUGGGGAUGGACUCGCGGCUUCGCAGCUUGUUGGUGGGGUAGUGGCUUACCAAGGCUUUGACGGGUAGCCGGCCUGAGAGGGUGACCGGCCACAUUGGCACUGAGAUAAGGCCCAGACUACUACGGGAGGCAGCAGUGGGGAAUAUUGCACAAUGGGCGGAAGCCUGAUGCAGCAACGCCGCGUGCGGGAUGACGGCCUUCGGGUUGUAAACCGCUUUCGCCUGUGACGAAGCGUGAGUGACGGUAAUGGGUAAAGAAGCACCGGCUAACUACGUG
rnacentral:rRNA from 1 species